rnacentral:lncRNA from 1 species
GAGUCACCAGCACGCAGGAGAAGAGGGCGAAGCGGCCACCCGCGUUCUGUGUUCGGAGUCAGGACGAGAAGCAUUGGGUGGGAGCAGGGCGAGGGGCUCGAGUUGGGUCUGCAGCGGGCACAGGACCUAGUUUUGUACAGUUAACGGUGGGGUUGAGUAAAGAGGGGGGCGGUGGGGAGGAUGUAAGCUCCCUUUAUUCCUUUCCCAGCGGACCAGGAGGAAGCUUCGUUGAAUUGAGCGCCCCUGGCUCGUAUAGCAGGCCGAGGAGGGAGCUCAUGGGCAGCGUUGGCUAAGAGUUCGAGAUCAUCUAGAAAUGUCAGAAACGUAGGUUGGGUCGUGAGGUCUCUGAAGACAGUGGGUGAAACUCCAGUGUAAGGCGCUGCGUCCGCUUGGUAGAGAGCCGGCCGAAGUCCGAGUCUUUGUUGCGAGGCGUAGGGCCACCCUGCGCGCCCAGCAGAAGCGCUAGAGGGCACGGUUGCCCGGGGUGAACCGCAUGUCCAAAUGUAACUGUGUGCUCCGAGUUAAAAUUGUUUUUCUGCAGACUUUGCUUGAGCCAACGAUUCCGGAAUUGGGGAAAGGGUUACCUUAGGUAGAAAUCGGAAAUUUAUAGGAGACACAGAGGUAAG